UACGUAGGUGGCAAGCGUUGUCCGGAUUUACUGGGCGUAAAGAGCGCGCAGGCGGUCGUUCAAGUCGCGUGUGAAAGCCCCCGGCUCAACUGGGGAGGGUCACGCGAUACUGAUCGACUCGAAGGCAGGAGAGGGAAGUGGAAUUCCCGGUGUAGUGGUGAAAUGCGUAGAGAUCGGGAGGAACACCUGUGGCGAAGGCGGCAUCCUGGCCCUGUCCUGACGCUCAGGGGCGAAAGCGUGGGGAGCAAACCGG
rnacentral:rRNA from 1 species